UCCGGAAUUAUUGGGCGUAAAGUGCUCGUAGGUCGUUUGUCGCGUCGAUUGUGAAAAUCUGAGGCUCAACCUCAGACCUGCAGUCGAUACGGGCAAACUAGAGUGUGGUAGGGAAGACUGGAAUUCCUGGUGUAGCGGUGGAAUGCGCAGAUAUCAGGAGGAACACCAACGGCGAAGGCAGGUCUCUGGGCCAUAACUGACACUGAGGAGCGAAAGUGCGGGGAGCGAACAGGAUUAGAUACCCUGGCAGUCCGCACCGUAAACGGUGGGCACUAGUUGUGGGAACCUUCCACGGUUUCCGCGACGCAGCAAACGCAUUAAGUGCCCCGCCUGGGGAGUACGAUCGCAAGAUUAAAACUCAAAGGAAUUGACGGGGCCCCGCAUAAGCAGCGGAGCAUGCGGCUUAAUUCGACGCAACGCGAAGAACCUUACCAAGGCUUGACAUAUAGCGAAAAGUGGCAGAGAUGUCAUGUCCGCAAGGGCGCUAUACAGGUGGUGCUUGGUUGUCGUCAGCUCGUGUCGUGAGAUGUUGGGUUAAGUCCCGCAACGAGCGCAACCCUCGUUCUGUGUUACCAGCAUUUAGUUGGGGACUCACAGGAGACUGCCGGGGUCAACUCGGAGGAAGGUGGGGAUGACCUCAAAUCAUCAUGCCCCUUAUGUCUUGGGCUGCACGCAUGCUACAAUGGCCGGUACAAAGUGCUGCGAGAUCGUAAGAUUGAGCGAAUCAUAUAAAGCCGGUCUCAGUUCGGAUUGAGGUCUGCAACUCGACCUCAUGAAGUCGGAGUUGCUAGUAAUCGUAGAUCAGCAACGCUACGGUGAAUACGUUCCCGGGGCUCGUACACACCGCCCGUCACGUCACGAAAGUCGGUAACACCCUAAGUUAGUGGCCCAACCGCAAGGGGGGAGCUAUCUAAGGUGGGAUCGGUGAUUGGGACGAAGUC
rnacentral:rRNA from 1 species